CAGCUGGCCCAGCAUCAACCACAGCAGCCCCCGCAGUAACCACAGCUGCCCCAGCAGUGACGACAGCGGCCCCAUUAUCAACCACAGCUUCCCCAGCAGUAACAACAGCUGCACCAGCAGUAACAACAGCGGCCCCUGCUUUAACCAUUGCUGCACCAGCAUCAACCACAGCUGCCCCAGCAGUAACAACAGCUGCACCAGCAGUGACGACAGCUGCCCCAUUAUCAACCACAGCUGUCCCAGCAGUAACAACAGCAGCCCCUGCAGUUACAACAGCUGCCCCUGUAGUAACAACAGUUGGCCCACCAUCAACCACAGCUGCCCCAGCAGUAACAACAGCUGCUCCCGCAGUAACCACAGCUACCCCAGCUGUGACGACAGCGGCCCCAGCAGUGACAACAGCUGCCCCAGCAUCAACCACAGCUGCCGCAGCAGGACCAACAGAUGCCCCAGUAUCAACCACAGCAGCACCAAUCACUUUGGCCCCUGAACCAGUUUACAUCCUCUCAGUAGACUUGACAGCAGUACCUUUUUCACCUGCCGUUAAUGACUCCAGCAGCACUGAAUUCAAAAACCUUGCACAACAAGUCAUAAAUAUUUGUACUGCAAUAUACCAAAAACAAUUUCAACAGAUGCAAUGUGAAAACGUUCAGUGACUUAUCUUCACGAGCAACUGGAACUGAAGCAAUAUUGCAGGUUGUGUUCAAUAGUACUACUCCUAUUGCAGAUCUCCCACAGAAUAAUGUCAUUGCUAAAAUCUUAGUAACAGCUGUGAGUAAUCCCAACGAUACCUUCGAUGUGAACAUAGAUCCAGGAUCAGUCAAAGUAGUAGCAGGUCCAGUUUCAACUACUGCUGCACCUACAACUACUAUAUCCACUACUGCUGCACCUACAACUGUAGCACUCACAACAGCUAGGGUGUCUUUCAGAUCUGUUAAAAGCACUUUUACAAACGACUUGCUGAAUCCAUCAUCAGCAGCUUUUAAAAAUCGAGCUGCAAUGAUAAAGGGACAGCUUGAACCUGUCUUCCAAAGGACAUUCUCUUCAUCCUUCAGGUCCUUGACAGUGGUUUCAUUCAGCAGUGGAUCAGUCAUCAACACCAUGGACCUUAGCUUUGUAAGCUAGGUCCAAUAACACUAAGAUUGCAAGCACGUUGAUCAACGCAGCUUCAAGCGUCAGUGGCUUCUACAUUGAAGGCAGCUCUAUCAACGUUAAUGGCAUCUCUUCGGGUGGAGUAAGCCACAAAAUCAGUCUCGUCACUGCAUCCUGCCUGGUACUGUUGUCACGGCUACUCUAACGCAAGCAAUAGCAUCCUUGCUGAAUUUACAUCAGAUCAUGACAGUCAUGACUGAUAUGAAAAGGCAAUUUGUUGUCAGUAAAUAUCCAAAAUUCAUGAUUGCAUUAAGGCUUGACAGCUUUAGAUAAAUGUAAUAUCAGAUGUAACUUUGCAAAAUCCCUAGAGAGGUCAAACAAUUGUGCAAUGCAAAAUAAAGGACAAAAGGGGGUAUGUACAGUAUGUGUAUGCAGUGUAUAUUUAGCCUAUAUGUAGCCUACAUGUGUGCAUAUAAGUAUGUAAAUAUUUAUGCAUGUAUGUGUGUAUGUGUAUGUGUAUGUAUGUGCUACAUACAGUAUGCCUAUAUGAAGUUGUACAGCUGUUCCUAUAAGGUCAACAAAAUGUACACACAUAGUUUAACUUUGUUGUCUGUAAACAUCUUUUAUUUUGCUUAUUUUAAAAGCCCUUCUAGAAACAGGCAUUAGAAAUUAGCAGUAGCUAUAAAUGCUAAGAUACAUCACAUUGGAUAAGUGUAUUAAAUUAAAUUACUUAAAUGGACACAAUACUGACAGUGGAUAGGAAUGUUGUCGAACUGAACACGUUUCUGUGUGGGAAUGUCCAGGAUGCUGGGCUGGACAGAAUGACACAGACAACUUUAAGCACCUAGUCCAUUGAAUCAUCACUAGAAUAAGCCAAAUGAACUGAGCAUGUGUGUGUGUGUGUAUUUCAGGCCUGUGUGUAGUGUGUAAUAACAUUAAAUGACCAUAAGCUGUC